CAAUAAGCUAGAUAAGGGCGUAUGGGGGAUGCCUAGGCUCUCAGAGGCGAAGAAGGACGUGAUAAGCUGCGAAAAGCCGCGGGGAUCGGCACAUACGAAAUGAUCCGCGGGUAUCCGAAUGGGGCAACCCUGCAUGCUGAAGGCAUGCAAUCCGCAAGGAGGCGAACCCGGGGAACUGAAACAUCUAAGUACCCGGAGGAAGAGAAAACAAAAGUGAUUCCGUAAGUAGUGGCGAGCGAACGCGGAACAGCCCAAACCGGUACUGUUACGGCAGUGCCGGGGUUGUAGGACCACGAGAUUCGAUGCGCGAUGAACCGGAACGUUCUGGAAAGGACGGCCGUAGCGGGUGACAGCCCCGUACGGGCAAAGGACGAUAUCGAUAGUGGGAUCCUGAGUAGCGCGGGGCACGUG
rnacentral:rRNA from 1 species